rnacentral:lncRNA from 1 species
CCCAAAGAAAAAAACAAAUGUUACCCAAUAGGCAAACAAUGCUGAGAGUUCACUUCCUCUAACUCUGUAGUUAAGUUACUCACUCAGUAUAACAUCACCCUCCUGCCAGGGGUUGAAGUCAGGAAGUAGUUUAUUUUCGCUGAAACUGAAGGGGGAAGUUAAAGAGAAAAAUAGCUGCAACUUGGUCAAUUCAGGAAAACCAGGUACGAAAAAAGAGGAGCAAGUUAAAGGGAAAGCCAGCUCGGAUUUGCUCACCAGUAAAAGGCAAAAAUCCCAGUGUUAUUCAUCUGCAUUUGGUGUGAAAGACAAAAGCUCAACUGGGAUCUGAGGCUUUCUGUGUCAGAGGGCAAGGAGUCAAUGGGGUUAUGAGGAAGUAAGACCACUUGAGACAUCAAAGAAAAGUAGAUCAAAUCACUAGACUCCUCCAAACAGGAGUGGGUGAAGACAAAAAGUGGAGAGAAUCCAGAGGGAAGAGAGGAGUAGGGAAAAUGGUGGAAAGGGAAGGUUUUUGAGAUGGAAGGCAGAGAAUGGGAACAAAAGAAGAAAAAGCUGUUUGUUUCAAAUCAAUAUUCUCCAAGAGGAUGUCUUGUUUCCCCAGGGAUAUUCUGAGGGACUCACAGGAUCAGAGCUGCGACACUUCUAACAUAUGAAUUCUCUCAAUUCUGAUGCCCUUUGACCUCUGCCACACAAUGCCAAGACAAACCCAGACCCCAGGCCCUGGAAACAGAGGAGGGGCAGGGACCACCUUCCCCCCCCCACAGAAUUUAUAGGAGAACACAAAUAUAGAUUAAAACAUCUUAUAUUUUUAAGAAUUCAGUUGACUUUACAUACAAUUCCCUCCAUUUUCUUUUUCUUUUAUUUUUACUUCAAGUACAAAUAUUUACAUAUCUGAAGGCACUGAACUUAUUUUGUGCAAUCAAGACAUAUAUUGUUUCAAACCAAUGUGUCUCCAAGGGGAUGGAGGUAUUCUUGAAAUGUCAUUAAUGUGACUUUUCUAGUGUCACACCUUAUUUAUAUUAUUUAUAAAUGAGAAGAAUAGUAUUGCUACUUGUUUUAAAAGUGACAGAAACCACAGACCAGAAAUCCUUCCUUUAAUCCUUCCCACUUGCUCACUGACAUAGGGAAAGGCUUCAGUCAUUUUCAGCUUUUAUCCUUUUCUCCCACUUGUAAAUUGGGUGCAUUUCUAUUCUUACACUUUCUCCUUCUCCAUCAAAUUCCAAAGUGGAAUACAAGAAGGAAACUUACUAAUACCAUAGUUUGGGGGCAGGAAUUAUGCUCAGUGAGGAGUGGAUAUAUUGGGCACGUAGGCAUUUCUAGUACUUUUCUCUAUUUUCUCAUUAAAUUCCUUUUACUCUGCUGAAGUCAAUCUCUUUGAGGGAAAUUCUAGGUCUCAGGAGACAGAGCUUAGGUUUUCAUGCCAGAGAUGCCUGCCCUAGAGUCUCAGAGACACCUAUUUACCCUCUUUCCUCAUCUUUAAAAUGAAGGUACAAUACUUAUUUCACAGCACUUUUACAAGCACCAAAUGCAAUAAACAUCCUAACUAUCUGGACUGCAAAACUGGCCCUCACUCAAGGCAAGAACUUAAAUAAUGUUGACAUGGACAAGAGACAGGGAAAUACUGGGUAGAAGGGCGGUUCUCCAGCAAAGGCCCCAUCCUCAAGCCUGGAAUCCCACAGCCCUGAAUAAGAAUAGGCAUUCUUGUUUUCACACCCAAAAGUUGCCUUUUGGCCUGCCACACCCCCUUCCUGUACUCAUAUAAACCCCAGACCCCAGGCUCCCGAAGAAGAUGAGGAGACAAACAGAAAAGCAAAAGACCAGCAGAAUAGUGCGGCAGAGAGAAGAGAAGGAACGUUUGAAUGUUGAGAGGAAUUCAGCUGGGGGUGAUAAGAGAGGGGAUCGGCUGUGGGACAGCCAAACUCCAGGGGAAGAUCAUCUUCCUACUCCAUCCCCCUUCCAGCUCCCCAUCCAUCCUGCUGAGAGCCACCUCCACCACUCAAUAAAACCCCUACAUUCAUCCUUCAAGUCCAUGUAUGACCUAAUUUUUUCUGGAUGCCAGACAAGGACUUGGGUACCAAGAGGGUCCACUGAGCUGUCUAACACUUAAGCUGUCUGUGGACAGCAAGGCUAAAAUAGCACACUGUAACCGGUCCCCACCUAGGCUUCAGGAGUCACAGACAUGCACCCCUAGACACAACCAUGGGGCCAGAGCCCAAAAAGAACUUGCCCUGGCUCCUGCACCUGCCCAUCUGCAUGCUCCUCCUCCCAUAAGGGGUUUGAGCACAUGGCGGCCACACACAAGCCACACCCCUGUCGCAUGUGCUGCAAGGGGGGUCAGGGAACUCUCCCAUUUCAAUGAUGACUUUGUUAAAUGGUCCAUAAGGGCUAUCCCCCCACACCUCUACCACACCAUGCCCCAUCUGUUUUCUUCCAG